rnacentral:rRNA from 1 species
GACGAACGCUGGCGGCGUGCCUAAUACAUGCAAGUCGAACGCAGUGGGGACGGGUGAGUAACACGUGGGUAACCUCCCAUCAGAGGGGAUAACACUUGGAAACAGGUGCUAAACCGAUACUGAUGGAUGGACCCGGGGUGCAUUAGCUAGUUGGUGAGGUAACGGCUCACAAAGGCCACGAUGCAUAGCCGACCUUGUAGUGUGAUCUGCCACACUUGGACUGCGACACGGCCCAGACUCCUACGUGAGGCAGCAGUAGGGAUUCUUCGGCAAUGGACGAAAGUCUGACCGAGCAACGCCGCGUGAGUGAAGAAGGUUUUCGGAUCGUAAAACUCUGUUGUUAGAGAAGCGGUAUCUAACCAGAAAGCCACGGCUAACUACGUGCCAGCCGCCGCGGUAAUUC